GAUGAACGCUGGCGGCGUGCCUAACACAUGCAAGUCGAGCGAGAUGUAUAUGGACGAAACUUCGGUCUAGGAAAUAUAUUGACAGCGGCGGACGGGUGAGUAACGCGUAGGCAACCUGCCCUUAACACAGGGAUAGCCUCGGGAAACCGGGAUUAAAACCUGAUAAUGCCAAAUAGUCACAUGGCUGUUUGGCCAAAGAUUUAUCGGUUAAGGAUGGGCCUGCGUCUGAUUAGUUUGUUGGUGGGGUAACGGCCUACCAAGACUACGAUCAGUAGCCGACCUGGGAGGGUGAUCGGCCACAUGGGAACUGAGACACGGUCCAAACUCCUACGGGAGGCAGCAGUGGGGAAUAUUGCACAAUGGGCGAAAGCCUGAUGCAGCAACGCCGCGUGAGCGAUGAAGGCCUUUGGGUCGUAAAGCUCUGUCCUUGGGGAAGAAAAAAAUGACGGUACCCAAGGAGGAAGCCCCGGCUAACUACGUGCCAGCCGCCGCUGUAA
rnacentral:rRNA from 1 species